UGGGGCUUGGAGCAACCUGGUCUGGUGGGAGGUGUCCCUGCCCAUGGCAGGGGGGUUGGAACUCCAUGAUCUUUAAGGUCCCUUCCAACCCAAACCAUUCUAUGAUUCUAUGAUUCGUCUUUUCCACCCAUAAUCUUCAACAAGAGAGUAAAGAGUGCAGCAAAAGGUGCGAGUGUUUCACCCAUGCAUAUUGUCAGCCCUGAGCAGGGGCUAAAGGGGAGAAGCAGAAGCACUUCAUAGCACCCCGAGGCAAUCACUCUGUGCCUUAUUGAUGCGUAUCAGUAUCAGAGUUCAUCACAUGUUCAUGGAUGCCUUGGUCUCUUUGUCCUAUUUAUUAGAGUGGAUGAGAGCUGAUAAGGCAAAAAAUGAGAUAGGGCAGAUUGGAGAAAGUGCGGAAAAACACAAAGUGAGGAUUCAAACUGGGAUUAUAGGGAACAGAAAUGAAAAUUUAAUUCUGGAAUGUUUGAUGAGCUUCAAAAAGAGAAGAUGUAAGCUGCAGAGCAGCAUAUUGACAAUACCCUAUUUGUCUCUUCAGAUGAUGUGUUGUCCUUAACAUAAAUACAAAGAGAGAAAAUACAGUAAGGGGUAACAUGGAAAGUAAGAAAACUGUAAUAAAUGCAACUUCUAGGCAGAGAAUCAGGCAGGAAAUGGGUGUGAUUGAAGUUCAGAAUAGGAAAUGUGACAGAUCAGAGAAUUCAGACCUUGUUUCCAGUAUGAAUUGUUUAGAAAUAGGAAGGGUUGCUUCUGUUACCCUGAAUUUUCAUGGCUUGGUUUGUCAUGCAUUGUAUUGGUCAGUUUUCUCUGUCGAAUAACCAUAACUCUGGCCUGUAGCAAGUACCAUUAAAAAAGGGUAUCUGCCUAGUUCAUUUCGAAGUUAGGUUAUUUUAUUCAGUGUGAAAAAAUUCCCCUGAAUGAGGUCUUUCCUUGGCUUAUGGGCUGCUCAUCAUAACUGGGGCUGAUGUGCGGGGGAGGGAAAAAGAUUCCCCCGAUUAGAGGAAAGCCCAUUGUGUCUAAGAGAAGUAACUCAGAAGAAUUCAUCAGAGUACAAAAUUACCUACAUACUUCAGUGGAGAUUAGUGCCCUCCCGAGUAACAAGCUAUUUGCAUAGCAGAUCUGCAGGUUAGACCUGCUCAGACAGUAGCUUUAUGUUACCAAAACACUUUCUAAGUUUUAGCCAUGAGUCAGCGUUUGCACCCUCACUUUACCUUUCUCCUCAUCCUGGACCUGUUGCGAGUUUGUAUAUACGUUUGUCUGGCUCACUGGAGUGCAGCCCCUCAUAUGAUGCUUGCAUUGUUUAAACACAAUAUUACUUAACUAAUAUGCAUUAAAUGCUUGAUAAAGUGGUUGUUAUUCAAAGCAUAGUUUCCUCUGACACCUUUGGGAGUUUUAAGUCCAAGUAAAAGCUGAAAGAUGUUUAAUCUGCAUUUUUUUUGCUAUGUAUAUUACCAACAGCUGAAGCUUUUCAAUUAUUUUUGUUUUUAGCUGCAGACGUGAAUGUAUGUGCGUAAGUCAUGUGGUAUUGAACACGGAUUAAGCUUUUAAAACUUUUCCAAGCUGCGUGAAAAUAAGACCGACGGAUAUUUUUUGGCAAGAGAUUUGCCUUAAUUGGAAAGGCUUAAAAUAAAUGAUCAUAUGAUUAAAAAAAGCAAGGAUUGCCUGCUAUUUGUUGUAACCCCUAUUUCUGUAAUGCCCCCGUAGCCAGAGAAGCAGCUGUUCAUUGCUGACAUUCUCCCUGCCAGGCAUUCCAACUCUCUGAGGUAAUGGGCUACAAGCAUACGGGCCUUCGCUUUAAUUCUUUCAGCGUAUCCUUCCGCAUGGAUAGAGCGAGGGGAACGCCUCCAGGAAAAGAAAUUAAAUGCACACACACGGAGGCACACGGAGACGGGCCAUUUGAAAAUAUUCCCCAGAAAACGCCGUUUGCGCUCAUGCAGCGCAGCGUCACGUGAAGGAGGCAGCCCUGAAGAGCUGGCCGGCACAGGUUUAUUUUGUUGUAAUAUUUUUCUUCCACCCCCAGCUCUUUACCCAGUGGAAUGAUAUCCAGAGCGAGUUUUUUGAGACAGGAAGUGAGGAAUGUUUUCACUAUGAGUGAUCUGAGAAGAAGGUGGGUUAGCCGAGAUAGCAGCUGUUUCGGCCGAGAGGAACACAGUAAGUCAGUUCCUGAGGAAUACCGAUGAGAUGGCUCCGGGAGAAGAAGUCUUGGAGCACUGUGGGGUUUUUUCGGCUACACGUAUGUGAAAGGAGACUCGGUGUCUUUGGAUCGCUGCAAAAGGGUUCCAGUGGAUGCCCCUUCUACUUGUCUCUUGGUGGAAAACUUGCUUGUCUUUAAUGGAUACGGCUGCUGGUGGUUGAUCUCUGGAGACUUUACAGCUCCUUACCUUUAGAGAGGAGAUUGCUACUUGUCCCCUCGCGAGGUCCCAGUGGUAGUAGCUUUUUAUCAGUAACCAUCUGUGGGGGAAAAAGAAGAUGCCUCUGCCUUUUGGGUUAAAAUUGAAACGAACUCGACGUUAUACGGUAUCCAGCAAGAGUUGCUUGGUUGCUCGUAUCCAGCUGCUCAACAAUGAAUUUGUGGAGUUCACGCUGUCGGUGGAAAGCACGGGCCAGGAAAGUCUGGAAGCGGUGGCUCAGAGGCUUGAAUUGCGGGAGAUAACGUAUUUCAGUCUGUGGUAUUAUAAUAAGCAGAAUCAGCGCAGAUGGGUAGAUUUGGACAAGCCUCUGAAAAAGCAGCUGGACAAAUAUGCCUUGGAGCCAACCGUGUAUUUUGGAGUAGUGUUUUAUGUGCCUACUGUUUCUCAGCUUCAGCAGGAGAUUACCAGGUAUCAGUAUUAUUUGCAAUUAAAGAAAGAUAUCUUGGAGGGCAGCAUUCCUUGCACACUGGAACAAGCAAUACAUCUGGCUGGUUUAGCUGUUCAGGCUGAUUUUGGAGACUAUGAUCAGUAUGAAUCUCAGGAGUUUCUACAACGAUUUGCUUUGUUUCCAGUGGGUUGGCUACAAGAAGAAAAAAUAUUGGAAGAAGCGACACAGAAAGUUGCCUUGCUACAUCAGAAAUACAGAGGCCUUACUCCUCCUGAUGCGGAAAUGUUGUAUAUGCAAGAAGUAGAGAGAAUGGAGGGCUAUGGUGAAGAGACCUAUCCUGCAAAGGACAGCCAAGGAAGUGACAUAUUCAUUGGAGCAUGUCUUGAUGGUAUCUUUGUGAAACACAAAAAUGGUCGUCCUCCUGUCGUAUUUAGGUGGCAUGAUAUUGCCAACAUGUCCCACAACAAAUCCUUUUUUGCAUUAGAGCUGGCAAACAAAGAAGAGACAAUCCAGUUCCAAACUGAAGAUAUGGAAACAGCAAAAUACGUGUGGAGGAUGUGUGUGGCAAGACACAAAUUUUACAGACUAAAUAAAUGCAGCCUAGACUCCCUGGACUCUCCACCUGAGGAGGGCUCUCAGAAAUCUUCCCUCAUUCUUUCCCUUCCACGCUUUCCAAUCCUUUCUCGUCCUUCACUUCCCAAAGGACAAACCCAGCCCGUUACAGUGAACCCUGUUAGAAGGCGGUCUUCGUCCAGGAUGUCUAUGCCCAAGCCUCAGCCUUAUAUGAUGCCUCCACCACCUCAGCUGCAUUACAAUGGUCAUUAUACUGAACCAUAUGCAUCUUCCCAAGAUAACCUCUUUGUGAGCAAUCAGAACGGAUACUACUGCCACUCCCAGACUAGCCUGGAUAGAGCCCCUCACGACUACAGCGGUCGGAUCCGUAACGGGAGCGUCUACAGCGCACACAGCACAAACUCCUUGAACAACCCCCAGCAUUACCUGCAGCCCUCCCCCAUGUCCUCCAACCCCAGCAUUACUGGAAGCGACGUCCUCAGAACCGACUACAUCCCGUCGCACAGACACAGCGCGCUGAUACCGCCUUCUUACCGCCCUACGCCCGACUACGAAACUGUGAUGAGGCAGCUCAACAGGGGGAUGGUGCACACGGACAGACAGAGCCAUUCUAUGAGAAAUCUGAACAUUGGCAAUUCCUAUGCUUACAGCAGGCCUGACGCCUUAGUUUACAGCCAGCCUGAAAUACGAGAACACGCUCACUUUGCUUCCCCACAAUCUAACCAUUACCCGUUUAACCUGAACUACAGCUUUCACAGCCAGUCCCCCUACCCCUAUCCUGCUGAAAAGCGCCCGGUUGUUGGGGCAGUCAGCGUCCCUGAGCUGACAAAUGUGCAGCUCCAGGCUCAGGAUUAUCCAGCACCAAAUAUAAUGAAGACCCAAGUCUAUCGCCCGCCUCCCCCGUACCCGUACCCGAGACCUGCCAAUAGUACUCCGGACCUUUCCCGACACAUCUACAUCAGCAGCAGCAAUCCAGACCUGAUCACGAGGCGAGUGCACCACUCUGUCCAGACAUUUCAAGAAGACAGCCUGCCUGUGGCACAUUCUCUUCAGGAAGUCAGUGAACCUCUAACCUCUGCCCACCACGCUCAGCUGCAGAAGAGGAACAGCAUUGAAAUAGCAGGCUUGGCUCCCAGCUUCGAAGGGAUAAGAAUUAAAGAGAGGACCAUGUCAGCUUCGGCAGCAGACGUGGCUCUUCCAAGAGUUAUCUCAGAAGGGUCACAGCCCAACGUGCUGAUGGAGAGGACAAAGCAAAAAGAAAGUGAGCAAGAAGAAAGUGUGAAUUGUGAUCAUAAGAAAACUCUUUCGGAUGCCACUAUGCUGAUUCACAGUAGUGAGGAAGAAGAAGAAUUUGAAGAAGAAAACAAGGCUGGUACAAGUCUUUCUCCUCUCCCUGAAGAUCAAACCCAACUUUCAUCCGUUAUGGGUGGUUAUUCUCAUGAUUCAGUGCUGAACUACCCUUAUAGCUCUGUUGCUUCACCUGCUGGCCCUUUGCAUAUUCUUGAGCCUAAAUUACAUAUUACAGAGACAGAAAAGAGAAUGAAAGAUAUGAGCCCUGUUCAUUUACUAGUAGAAAGCCAGGUACAGAGAAGAGGGGAAGGACUGCUUACUCCAUCUAUGUCAGAAUCUGAUCUUACAACAUCAGGGAGAUACAGAGUAAGGAAAGAUUCAGUAAAGAAGAGACCUGUGUCUGAUCUUCUGUCUGGGAAGAAGAAUAUUGUGGAAGGCCUUCCUCCGUUAGGUGGUAUGAAAAAGAAUAAAAACGAUGCAAAAAAAAUAGGGCCUCUAAAGCUGGCUGCCCUAAAUGGACUAGCUUUGACUAGAAUGCCUCUGACAGAUGAGGGCAAGGAAGAAUCAACAAGAGCAACAAAUGAUGAACGGUGUAGAGUUCUGGAGCAGCGGUUAGAGCAGGGGAUGGUGUUUACUGAAUAUGAGCGCAUUCAGAAAAAAAGACUCCGAGAUGGUGAGUGCUCAAUAGCUCGGCUUCCUGAGAAUGCUGAAAGAAACCGCUUCCAGGACGUCCUUCCUUAUGAUGAUACCAGAGUAGAGCUAGUCCCAACCAAAGAAAAUAACACGGGUUACAUCAAUGCGUCUCAUAUCAAGAUCUCUGUUGGUGGCAUAGAGUGGGAUUACAUUGCUACGCAGGGCCCUUUGCAGAACACGUGUCAGGAUUUCUGGCAGAUGAUCUGGGAGCAAGGGAUUGCCAUCAUAGCUAUGGUGACAGUAGAGGAAGAAAGUGGGCGAGAAAAAAGCUUCAGAUACUGGCCACGUCUUGGUUCAAGACACAACACUGUAACGUAUGGAAGAUUUAAGAUCACCACACGAUUCCGUACGGACUCGGGCUGCUACGCAACAACGGGUUUGAAGAUUAAGCACCUUCUCACAGGACAGGAGAGAACAGUUUGGCACCUGCAGUACACUGACUGGCCAGAGCAUGGUUGCCCGGAGGAUUUAAAGGGAUUUCUCUCUUACUUGGAAGAGAUCCAGUCCGUGCGGCGCCACACGAACAGCACCGCGGACCCAAAGAGCUCCAAUCCCCCCGUGCUGGUGCACUGCAGCGCAGGUGUGGGACGGACAGGAGUGGUCAUUCUGUCAGAAAUCAUGAUCGCUUGUUUGGAACACAAUGAGAUGCUGGACAUCCCACGAGUGCUGGACAAGUUGAGGCAGCAGAGAAUGAUGAUGGUGCAGACUCUUUCACAGUACACUUUCGUCUAUGGAGUUCUCAUUCAGUUUCUCAAAAGUUCCAGACUUAUUUAAUCCCUGCCGCUUCCUGAGGGACCCUGCAAGAGUUUACAGAAAGAAAAUCACAGUUGUCCAGGCAGAUCUGCUCUCACUGGUGUUUUCUUCAUACGAUGAAUCACACAGUUACCGUUCAGGGCUGGUAUGUGACUGUUAAAUGAGAGUCAUUGUAACAGUCCCUGCAAAGCAGCAUCUUCACUGGACUCAAUUCUUCCCAUGUUCAGCUGCAGUCGAAUUAAGGGAAUGAUUUUACUUGUAUUGGUCUGUAGUACUUGCAUACGUUCUUUGGGGUGGUGUUACUCUGGGCAAAAUAAGUAUCUUAUGGAAUGGAAGUAUAUGGCACAAUUUUACUAACAUUAUGUUGUAAAGCAUAAUUGUUAACUGUGCAAAAGCUAAAAACUCUUGGUGCACGUGGGGUGAGAAACCUGCUCCUUGGGAAUGUAGAGGUCUCAGGCAGUUUUGUUCUGCUUUCAAUUUUAUACUUAGAACAAUACAUCUAUAUUUUUUAAAAUGAACUUUUGGUUUCCUCUGGUUUACUCAGCAAAAUUAGCAGCUCUUAGAUGUUUUAAGCUGUUGCUUUAAGGACGGUUAUUUUUAUAUUCAUUUUUAAUUAAAACAACCCAAAACACCAAACCCCAAAAUUUUUUAAACAGCAUAAUGUUUUCAGAGAAGACUGACAAUUUUUGAAUUAUUCAAAAACCAUGCAGAAAGUACUAGGGGAAGCUGUUGGUAGUUAGUUGCAGUGCUGUGUAAAGGAACUGACAAGUGAAAGGUGAUGUUAACUGCUGAUAACUUCCAGUUGGGCGGAGGCAGGAGGAAAAUAUUCUAAUUAUUUACAAGGUUCUUGGAAACAAAUGGAUGAGAGAAAGUACAUAUUCAGUAUUAUUCAUAUAUUUAGAGGACAGUUUGAUUUUACUGGCUGAAAUCAAAGUGGAUGCAAAUGUUUUAAGCACUUUUUUUUUUGCUCUGUUAUUUAUGUAGUUAAACAUAGAAGCUAUAAUCAUGCAUUGUUUCAUAUAGUAAUAUGCCAUUACUAACCUGUUAUUUUAGGAAGAGCCUUUUAAGUUGAUGAAGUGAGAGAACCAAAAUUGGAGUGAGAAGGUGCAUAGUGGCAAAGCGGAAAUGAUGUGAAGAAAGCCUUCGAACCACUGGAAGUCUCUGUAGAAUCCUUCAGAUUAUUUUGUCAGUACUAGAACAGAUUUGGUUAAUGCCAUGCAGCGUUGCAAUGAAGAAUAUCCCUAGAAGCUGUUUGAGAGAACACCUGCAGAAUGUCAAAGCUCUUAGAGGUGACACUGGAGCUGUGGGUAUGUUUGUAGCUGUGUGGGUGGCUGUGGCAUGGAGGGGAAGAUGUGUCCUACCUUUCCUAGUUUCCAUUUUGGCCCCUGGGUCUGGUCUAAUGACAGUAUCCCUAAAUAAUCCUCCGUCUGUGGUUUUCAAAUGGGGACAGUGUGGUUUUACCUGCCUUUACAAGUGGUGUGAGAUGCUGAGUUGAAAAUCCCUAUUCAAAAGCAAGCUGUUAGUGUCUAGAUCUCCAGUUUAAUUUCAAGAAGACCCUAUGGUAGACCAGUCUGCAGGCCUGUUUUUAAGUGCCCAUUUCCCUUGACACCUGCUUACCAAAAUCAAAUGAGACUGAAAGUCAUUUUUAUCACAGGUGAAAUAUCUCAUUUAUUUUUUUUUUUUGAGCUGUAAGAAGGGUUUGGAAGCUACUAUGGAUAAUUUAAGCCCCUUCAAAACAAUAAUCGUCUCCCAAAACAUUAAUUAAGAAUAAUAAAUAGGUUGCCUCAAUUUCCUCCACUUCCACAAAAAAAACCCUCGUGGUCCAAAUGAUGAUGUGCGAAUAUGUCAUUCUGUGCAAAAUGUAUUACUUGAAAGUACACUGUAUUAAUCUACUGCAUUUGCUCUGGUUUCACACCAAAUCGUGAAAUGUGAAAUGCUAGGAAAUGUUAACUGCCAGAUGUAAACAACAAUUUGACACAUCUGUGUCAGCAGAGGUACUGACAGAAACAAACAUAUUCUUAGCUAUUUGUAUCUGCUGGGUUUUGAAAACGUGCCUAUUUUUUGCCACCGUUCACAUUUAUCUUCAGCAAUAAUUUUGAAUGGGAAAGUAGGCUCUAAAAUGCAGUUUGUAGCAUUUCCAUUUCUGACCUUUGUACUGUGAUCUUCAUAACCUGACACGAGCAGCUUUUAAAGAAUUUAGAUACAAACACAACUUCAAGCAACAGUUUUUAGCUGUCCAUCAGUUACCGGGACGGAACGUCAGCUGUGAAGCAAUUUAAUCCAAAAUGUAUGGUGUUAUUUGAGGUGGGUGAGGAAAUUUGUGUCUUGGCUUUCUUUUCUGUUUUGCUGAAAGAAGCUGUGUUCACUUUGAGGCGGUUGCUCUCUAAUCUGGUAGUCACAGUCUAGAUUUAUUUUUUUAAGCAUAACAUUGCUACCUCCUCCACUUCAGCUUUCAGUUCUGUCCAUCAGCGGUCUGUUUUUGCAUUAAUGACUUGACCUUAAUCGUCCUGACUUUCUGUGAGUUUUCCCUCUGAAGACAGCAGGGUUGAUUUGUGUGGAACUCUGUGGCUCCAAGUCAGCAUUGAAAAGGAGCAGUUUCUCUUCUAAAGAUACCAAAUGAAAACAAACUUCACAACAUCCUGUAACAAAAUUAAUUUUAAAAACCAUUGUUUAGAUUUUCAGUUAACUUUUAAAAGAAAAUUCAGUUUUUAGCACUUUGUUCUUAGCCUUGAAAAGGGAUUCUUUUUUUACCUGUAGUUGCGCUCAGUGCUUCUCGAAGUGUUGGACAUUAUAAGAACAUCCACUGUCCAAAUCCAGCCACAGUGGGAGUCGGAGGUGAAUUUAUUUGUCAAAAGCUUAAAAUUCCACGGUAAGCCUGUCCAUUUUGCCAAAUGUGCUUCUGUUUUUAUGGGGAUAAAACCAGAUUAUUAUGCAAGAUCUGAACUGGCUUUUUUUAGUAAGAAAAGUUGCGUGAAGACAUCCUUGCAGUAAAUGGCAAAGAUGAUGCUGAUCUCUAGGGAUACCAGAGCUCUCAGGGAUACAUAAAGGUGCUAUAUACUGUCAAGAGACAGGUUUGACUGUCUUUUGUGGGCGAGGUGGAAAAUGCUUUUUAGAAUCAAAUUCUAUGAAGAGUCAGGAGAAGAACCUAGAAGGUGUAGUAGGGGCUUCUGCACAUUUGAUUUCUGUCUUGGUUGCUCUAAUGAGAGAUUUUUUGUAGUCUCAGGCAAGUAGCUCUUCUCUAGGAGCAUAAAUCAGAGCCCUGUUCUGUGGUGGAGAAGCUGUGGCACAGAGGGGAGUUUUGCUCAGCUUUCCUGCAGCCUGCACAGGAGAGCUUUCCCUUUUCUGCUGUCCCCCAUGAAAAGCAGGAAGAGUUUUAUGCCUUCAUAUUGCUCAGACUUUUGCACAAGUGCGGGGUGCUACGGUUUUUCUCUAGAAAUACUUUUAAUUCAAAGCAGGUGAGCCACGGCAGAGUUCCUAUAGUUUCUUGGGAUGAAAAGCUGCUCUGACUUACCAUCAACAUUUAGAAAAAAAAGUAGAGCAAUAACAGAUAAAUUUAAACUAAAUGUGUACUAAAAUGGAAAAAAAAUCUUGGCAUUUUGAGAAAUGUAUUUCUGGCUUCUCUUGUAAUGCUGUGUAUCUUUUUUUUUUUUUUGAAGUGGAUGACAUUUGGAGCAGUUUUCUCCAAAAAUAUCUUCUUAAAUUUAAUAAGUAAGACUACCUGAGGCUGCUGCUACAUUGUCCCUGUUGGAGCAGCUGUUAGAGUUGAGCAGCUCAUGCAUAGAUUUCAAUGGCCUCUGGACCAAACUUGGGAACUGCAGGGUUUGUUAUCAUACAAGCUGGCUGUGUAACUAGACCUCAUUUUUAAUAUCAGAAAACCCUGGACUUAAAGAUAGCAAACUCCUUACUAGAAUUCAGUAGUUAGUUCAAAUUACUAAUUUAAAAGAAACAACACUUCCAUUGUUAAGAACUCUGUGCUUUAGGGUCUGGUUUUGUGGUUUUUUCAGUACUGCAGUGUCACGCAAAGCCAGAGUCCAGUUCUCCAAGAUACAGAAUUCCUGCACUUCUUCCUGAUAUUGUAGGAAUUAAAUGGGCUUAUUGCCAAUGAAAGCUUGAGCCCUUAAAGCAUGAAUACUCACAUGUCUGCUUUAAAUUUAAAUACAGAUUACAAGAAUUAACCAAAAGAAUGCAGCAGGAAUGUGCACACAUGGAGCUACAGCAUUCAAAGGAGAAGUAGCUGAGAUAGUUCGAAAGAAAUUCUCUUGUGAAAGGACAAAAUGUUGGAAGUGGAGAGUGAGGAUUUGAGGAAUGGCUGAAGGCAUUUGGAGGAGGAUUUGGAACAUUUUGUAUCCACAGUAGAGCUGCUAGAAGGGCUUGAUUCAUAUGGUAUGUUUUUCAUGGCGUGGUAGGGUAAGUGAGUAUGUAGUCAUAGGUGUUAUUUUUACUGGCAUUUUAAAAUGUGAUUUUUUGAAACUCCAAAUAUUUUUUUUUUCAGAGGCUCUGUUAUUUUUACAUAUCCUUUCCAAAUGUAUUUAAUGCAAUCUGUCAGCUCAGUCUCUGUUUACUUAUUAAAGGUCAGAGUUUUAAAAGCACGGUCUCUGGUUUGACACAUGCGAAGUGCAGGGGAAUAGGCAGAGGUGCAGUUUUGUAGUGAAAAUUUCGAGUGGAUGCAGGUGAGAUGAUUUGAAAGUCUAAAUACUUUGUGAAUGCAGCCAGUUUACAGUAGGUGUGAAUUGCACCAGGUUAAGGCUGGGCUGAAAUUUAGGCCCUUGAAAUGUGGAAUUUAACACGUGCUCGAAGUUACAUUGCAGCACAGUGUUUGCAAUACAGUGGUAUUAAAAUAAUACUGUACUGUGAUGGGGUAAGAGAAAAAUCUUGAACUUCAAACAGCUGUUGCAAAUGUGUGUAAAAAAAAAAAUAAAUUAAAAACCAAUAAAUAUUUCUUAGUAAGAUCCCGUUGGGGACCAGCUAAUUUGGUGCAUUCUGUUGGCAUCACAUAUGUUCCUUUAAGGUCUAUGGGGGCUGAACAAAAAAAAAGGAUUUGUUAACUUCAAUGAACAUUUCAAAAAACAGUUGCUAAAUGGCCUUUGGUUCUGUUCUCUGCAAUUUUCCACAUGAUGCUGCGUUCAGUGGUGGAGAAUAACCUCCAGUGUAUUUGUUCUUUGGAAGACUAUUGUUCAGCUCUAAUUAGGGAACGAAGAUAGAAAUCAAAUGCAAAGAAUCUAAUGAAUAGUUUCCAAUAGAUCCAGCCUGGGGCAAGUGAGAGGGCAAGGCUGUAGAUAACAUAAAGUUAUUUUGGAUCAGAUACAUGGCAAUCCGAACUACCAAAUUCUUAAUUUUAUGAGCACAGUUUCAGAAGGUGCCUGACUUUUAUAAAGGGAAUUUAAAUGCUGUUUUUCCAUUUGGAAAUAUUUAGGUAAAAUACGGAGGCUCUUAAAAUACUUUAAAGACUUUGCAAAUGCCAUUGAUUUUUAGAAUGGUGGGAAACUUGAUGAGGAAAACCCAUGUAAAAUCCUCCAGUGUGUCAGACUGGCGGGUGUGCUCUUUGCAAAGAUAACUUUCUUAAAUGGCUUUGAUAUCCCCAAGGUCUCUCUCCUCUGUAUGGCUGGUCUGGGGGGACUCGGAUGGAAAUUUGGGAGGCUUGACCUGGCAAAUGAGUGAGUGUGUCACCUCCUGCACAUUGCUGAAAUCUCUUCCUUCAGUUAGAGCCAGUGGGCGUUUGGAGUCCUUUCAGCAGUUUUGUAGGAUUGAGUCCUUCAUGUCAGAGGAACGCAGGGUCUGGCUUCGUUUUCGUUUGAGCCAGUUUGCAAGGAUUUAAAUGGGACUUUGAUUAAACAGUAGCAAACGUGAAGUAUUAUUUUCUAGUACUAAGCUAGUGGUUAACAUGUCUAUUUUUGCUGUCUUGCCACCAAUACUGUAAAAAUGUAUAAUCAAAGCAGCUUUAAUUCUUGUAAAACUGAAAUUGGUUUGUAAAACAAUGUACAAAUUGUGUUUCAUAGACAGAAAAGCUUGUAUUACUGAAUGUAAUAUAUGUGAAAUGAAUAUAUUAUAGUCUAUUUUUGCCAUGGAAAUAAAUAUUUGAAGCAAC